rnacentral:lncRNA from 10 species
GGGCCACUGGAUUUAGCCCUCCUGUGCCCCUGUGGCUGGCAGAGACAUCUCACUGGGGCCUCGGAAGCUUCUGGAAAGAGGAGAUCCCCAAAUGGAUUUUGGAAGUGUUGCGGAGGAAGAGCUAACUCGGCCGUGUUUACAGACCCCUCCUUUCCUAGGUAGGAGCAGGCUGCAGCAGAAUCCAACAGGCUCAGAAUCCAGGACUCUAGGGUCGAGCAAAGCCAGACAGCUGAGCCCCUGGGUGUGCACAUUCCUGGCCUGAGAUGACUAACAAUAAAACAGAGAUAAUGUCGCUGAAAAUAUGGGCCCCGCACAGCUCUCGCUGUGGGUCAGGGCCAGGCUCAUUAGGACCUUAUCUCUAGAAUCUUCCUAACUACCCCUUUACAGAUGAAAAAGCUGAGGUUUGAGAAGUGAGGUCAUUUAUCCAAGGUCAUCCAAUGGGGAAAGAGAAGUUCAGGGUGGCCUGGAACAGAGGCAGGGGGCUCUACCCGUACCACCACAUGGCAUCCUCUUACCAAACCUUGCAGAAAGGGCAUCAGUCCGCAUUUUCCAGAAGACAAGCUCAGGCUCACCCUGCAGUAGGAGGAACCUGGCACAGCUGUGACAUCUGCCUCCUUCCCCAGACAUGGCUGCCCGCACCCCCCGCUUCUCUGGGCUGGGAGGGGAGAGGGUCAUUCGCCCUCUGCCCCUGCCCUGGCUGGCCCGCCUGGCAGGGCCCAACAGAAGCCACAGGAGGGCCAGGGAGCCUGGAGUGGCUUCAGAGCUAAGACAAAGAUGUUGAAGACGAAUUGUUUGAAUGAAGCAAUCAGGAAAAAAAUAUUUGCAGAGUCAAGAAAGAUCAACAGAACAUGAAAAAAGGAAACAUGAAAAAUAAAAUACACACUAGAAAAAGUCUUUAUAUGAGAUUUUCUUUAAAAUAUUUUAACAUUUGACCUUCUACCUCGGUGUGCUAUUCUAAUCCCAUUUAGUUUCAAAAUGCCAUAACUAUCAGUGUGCAGAUGGAUGGGCUUUUUAAAAAAUGCCGUAACUAGAACUUCAAAUCUUGACCACUUUUUCUUACUUUUCCC